UUUUUUUUUUUUUUUUUUUUUUUACCAGUAAAAUGUUGCUCUGCAGAAGUAGUGGUCUGAUUUCUAUAAAUGUUUAAAAAAUUUAAAGUAUGGAGUGCUAAAUUAAGUUGCAUCUGGAGAGUGUUACACUCCUUACUGUCUUUUUCCUUUUUUUGUUUCACCACCUGAGCUUUGAGUGUUCUAUUAGUUCUUUCAAUUAUGGCCUGUCCUUGGGAAUUAUAGGAGAUUCAUGUUGUAUGUGUAAUUUUCCACUGAUUUAAGAAUUUUUGAAAUGUUUUACUACACUAUCCUGGCCCAUUAUCUGUUUUAAUAUUUUUUGAACUCCCAUGACAGCAAAACAAGAUAACAGAUGUCUUUUAACAUGGGAAGUACUUUCUCCCGACUGGCAGGUUGCCCAUACAAAAUGUGAAUAAGUAUCAACUGUCAAUGGACAAAUGACAAUUUUCCAAAUGAAGGUACAUGUGUGACAUCCAUUUUCCAUAACGCAUUAGGACACAGACCUCUGGGAUUAACUCCUGCCUCCUGAAUGGGCAGGUGUAGGACUUGACACUGGGUGCAACGUGGUACAAUAUUUUUUGCCUGUUUCCAUGUGAUAGCAAAUUUAUUUUUUAGUCCUAUUGCAUUUACAUGUGUCAAGGCAUGAAGUUCUUGUGCUUCUAUGAAUGCAUAUGAUUCUAGCAAGUCAGCUUGUUCAUUUGCUUUAGUUAAAGGCCCUGGUAAAUUAGUAUGUGCUCGAAUAUGAGUAAUAUGAAAUGGGAAAUUUCUUUUUCUUACAGUUUGUUGUAACAAAUUAAACAGCUGAUUUAACUGAUCAUCCAUACUAUAUUUGAUUAGGGCUGUCUCAACAUCCUUUGUAGCCUGUACUACAUAUGCAGAAUCUGAUACAAAGUUAAUAGGCUGAUUAAAAUCUUGUAACACUGAAAUGACGGGCAACCAACUCUGCUCUUUGAGCUGAGUGAUAUUGAGUUUCAAUGACUCCUUUUUUUGGCCCAGUGUAAGCGGCUUUUCCAUUGCUGGAACCAUCAGUAAACACUGUCAGAGCAUUUUUUAAAGGGUUAUGUCUGGUAAUUUUAGGUAAAAUCCAAGUAGUCAAUUUUAAAAACUGGAAGAUUUUUGUUUUUGGGUAAUGAUUAUCAAUACUUCCCACAAAAUCAGCAAGGCCAAUCUGCCAUGCAGCAGAAUUGAUAAAGGCUUGUCUAACCUGUUCCUUGUUUAAAGGAACAAUGAUUUUUAUCUGGGUCACUUCCACACAAUUUUAUUAUUCGUAAUCUUGCCUGACCAAUUAAUGUAGCCAUUUGAUCCAAGUACAAUGUAAAAGUCUUAAUCGUACUGUGAGGAAGGAAAGAUCACUCCACAAGAUCUGUAUUUUGAACAAUAAUGCCUGUUGGAGAAUGUGCAGUAGCAAAAAUCAAAAGUUGGAGUGGGGCUAAGUGAUCUAUUCUAUUUACUUGUGCUGACCGAAUUUUUUCUUCAAUUGAUUCAAUUUCUUUAGUUGCAUCUGGAGUUAAUGUUCUUUUACUAUUCAAUUCUGGAUCCCUUCUCAAGAUAGAGAACAAAUUUGACAUGGCAUAAGUAGAGAUGCCUAGAGUUGUCCGAAUCCAGGUAAUAUCUCCUAGCAAUUUUUGAAAGUCAUUUAAUGUUUUUAAU
ensembl:lncRNA